UACAAGACUCUUGGGACAGAGGACUGUUGUCUGCUCUCUCCAGUCACCCUCAUAGCCGAAGGAUCUGUGACCCCAGCAUGAGGACCCUCGCCUUCCUAGCUGCCCUCCUCCUGGUAACCCAGGCCCAGGCUGGGCCCCUGCAAGGGAGAGAUGAGGAGAUGCCACCCCAGGAGUGGCCCAUGGCAGAGGACCGGGACGUGUCCAUUUCCAUCACAUGGAAUGAAAACUCCAUUCCUCAAGCUCCAGCGGGGGACAGGCAGUGCUCUUGCAGAACAUUCUGCCGUCGUGGUGAACGUGUCCGAGGG